CCUACGGGUGGCAGCAGUGGGGGAUAUUGCACAAUGGGCGAAACCCUGAUGCAGCGACGCCGCGUGAGUGAAGAAGUAUUUCGGUAUGUAAAGCACUAUCAGCAGGGAAGAAAAUGACAGUACCUGACAAAGAAGCCCCGGCUAACGACGUGUCAGCAGCCGCUGUAAUACGUAGGGGGCAAGCGUUAUCCGGAUUUACUGGGUGUAAAGGGAGCGUAGACGGUUAUGUAAGUCUGGAGUGAAAGCCCGGGGCUCAACCCCGGGACUGCUUUGGAUACUGUGUAGCUGGAGUACAGGAGAGGCAGGUGGAAUUCCAGGUGUAGCGGUGAAAUGCGUAGAUAUCAGGAGGAACACCGGCGGCGAAGGCGGCCUGCUGGACUGAAACUGACGUUGAGGCUCGAAAGCGUGGGGAGCAAACAGGAUUAGAUACCCGAGUAGUC
rnacentral:rRNA from 1 species